rnacentral:rRNA from 1 species
AUUCUGGCUCAGGAUGAACGCUGGCGGCGUGCUUAACACAUGCAAGUCGAACGGGAUCCCAGGAGCUUGCUCCUGGGUGAGAGUGGCGAACGGGUGAGUAAUGCGUGACCGACCUGCCCCAUACACCGGAAUAGCUCCUGGAAACGGGUGGUAAUGCCGGAUGCUCCAGUUGACCGCAUGGUCCUCUGGGAAAGCUUUUGCGGUAUGGGAUGGGGUCGCGUCCUAUCAGCUUGAUGGCGGGGUAACGGCCCACCAUGGCUUCGACGGGUAGCCGGCCUGAGAGGGCGACCGGCCACAUUGGGACUGAGAUACGGCCCAGACUCCUACGGGAGGCAGCAGUGGGGAAUAUUGCACAAUGGGCGCAAGCCUGAUGCAGCGACGCCGCGUGCGGGAUGACGGCCUUCGGGUUGUAAACCGCUUUUGACUGGGAGCAAGCCCUUCGGGGUGAGUGUACCUUUCGAAUAAGCACCGGCUAACUACGUGCCAGCAGCCGCGGUAAUACGUAGGGUGCAAGCGUUAUCCGGAAUUAUUGGGCGUAAAGGGCUCGUAGGCGGUUCGUCGCGUCCGGUGUGAAAGUCCAUCGCUUAACGGUGGAUCCGCGCCGGGUACGGGCGGGCUUGAGUGCGGUAGGGGAGACUGGAAUUCCCGGUGUAACGGUGGAAUGUGUAGAUAUCGGGAAGAACACCAAUGGCGAAGGCAGGUCUCUGGGCCGUCACUGACGCUGAGGAGCGAAAGCGUGGGGAGCGAACAGGAUUAGAUACCCUGGUAGUCCACGCCGUAAACGGUGGAUGCUGGAUGUGGGGACCAUUCCACGGUCUCCGUGUCGGAGCCAACGCGUUAAGCAUCCCGCCUGGGGAGUACGGCCGCAAGGCUAAAACUCAAAGAAAUUGACGGGGGCCCGCACAAGCGGCGGAGCAUGCGGAUUAAUUCGAUGCAACGCGAAGAACCUUACCUGGGCUUGACAUGUUCCCGACAGCCCCAGAGAUGGGGCCUCCCUUCGGGGCGGGUUCACAGGUGGUGCAUGGUCGUCGUCAGCUCGUGUCGUGAGAUGUUGGGUUAAGUCCCGCAACGAGCGCAACCCU